UACCCAUGUUGAGGACAUUUCCGCAGGAGAUCCUUGAACAUGUCCUAUGUCUCAAAAAGAGACUCUAAUUCCAUUUGCACAAAAAAAGAUAUCUUAUUUCUAAGCUU